UACAGAGGGGGCAAGCGUUGUUCGGAAUUACUGGGCGUAAAGGGCGCGUAGGCGGCCUUCUAAGUCGAACGUGAAAUCCCCGGGCUCAACCCGGGAACUGCGUCCGAUACUGGAAGGCUUGAAUCCGGGAGAGGGAUGCGGAAUUCCAGGUGUAGCGGUGAAAUGCGUAGAUAUCUGGAGGAACACCGGUGGCGAAGGCGGCAUCCUGGACCGGUAUUGACGCUGACGGCGCGAAAGCCAGGGGAGCAAAGCGGG
rnacentral:rRNA from 1 species